AAUGGACGAAAGUCUGACGGAGCAACGCCGCGUGAGUGAUGAAGGAUUUCGGUCUGUAAAGCUCUGUUGUUUAUGACGAAGUGCAGUGUGUGAACAAUGCAUUGCAAUGACGGUAGUAAACGAGGAAGCCACGGCUAACUACGUGCCAGCAGCCGCGGUAAUACGUAGGUGGCGAGCGUUGUCCGGAAUUAUUGGGCGUAAAGAGCAUGUAGGCGGCUUAAUAAGUCGAGCGUGAAAAUGCGGGGCUCAACCCCGUAUGACGCUGGAAACUGUUAGGCUUGAGUGCAGGAGAGGAAAGGGGAAUUCUCAGUGUAGCGGUGAAAUGCGUAGAUAUUGGGAGGAAC
rnacentral:rRNA from 1 species